UACGUAGGGUGCAGGCGUUAAUCGGAAUUACUGGGCGUAAAGCGUGCGCAGGCGGUUUCUUAAAUCAGAUGUGAAAUCCCCGGGCUUAACCUGGGAACUGCGUUUGAAACUGGGAGACUUGAGUGUGGCAGAGGGGGGUGGAAUUCCACGUGUAGCAGUGAAAUGCGUAGAUAUGUGGAGGAACACCAAUGGCGAAGGCAGCCCCCUGGGUCAACACUGACGCUCAUGCACGAAAGCGUGGGGAGCAAACAGG
rnacentral:rRNA from 1 species